rnacentral:pre_miRNA from 1 species
CACCUGAAACAGUGCCUGGGGAUAUUGUUGAGCAAUUUCAGUCAUUGUUUUGGGUGGA